UUGGUAGAAGCUAAAGAAUAUUUUGUAACCUAAGUCUUCGCCGCUUCGGGUCCAAAUCAUCCUCUCCAAACGUUAAGGCGACGUCCUCCGUCGCAUCGUCUGACAUCUAAAGAACAACAUUAGAGAAAUGACGAAUCUGCGAAAAGCCGAAAAACAUCAAAUACCAAGAGAUCCAGACAAAAAUUAGGUGUUUGGCCUGCAUCCUAACGCGGACAUAACGUAUCAAGCUAAGACAACCACGGACGUGUUGGAAACUAUUGUGAAUAUUCAGACAGCCUAAGGAUAGCGGUGGAGGAGGCGGAGAAACACGUGAAACAGUCGUGUUCAGACAGGCUUCUGAAAUGCUGGAUAAGUUACCAGACAACUAUGUACCUCAUGAGGUGGCGAUCGAAGGUAGACAGCAAGAUCGAAGCUCAGCAAGAUUGAAGAUUGUUCGAGGAAGAAGGAGUUCGUUGACUAAAAGGUUUAUCUGAACAGCUAGUUGUCAAGAUGAACGUGAAGAGAAAAAGAUAAAAUGGCGAUGCCAAAGAAAACCAUCCACGUGGACCGUUCGCGGACCUUUCUGAGCAAGAUUGUUGUGCUGUCUGGUCAAACCAGUUAUCAAGACGAACGUCAAGAGAACAGUUGAAAUUGAAAUCAGUUCAAGACUCGCCCGGCCGAAUUCAAAAUGGCGAUGCCGAAGAAAAU